CUGUUUCCCCCCUGGGGGCCUCUGCAGCGGAGUGGGGUGGGGAGGUUUUGUGCCACUGCUACCUUGCCAGCUGUGUCUCCCUGCCAGGGUGCCCCCAGCCUGCAUAUCAGCAGAGGGGGAUGCAACUCCAUGCCACUGCUGCCAGGUGGGCAAGGGUGCCCACUGGUCUGCAGAAGCUCUCAGGGUGAGGACAGCAGGACAGGGAGCCCUGAGCCCACAGCAAGCAGCCUGCAUCCACUCUGGCUGUGCUGCCUUCAGGGAUUGGGGGCUGGGGUGUAGAGCUGGACUCUGCACUGUACUUGCAUUGCAGCAGUUGCUGCCUCCCGUGGGUGGCAGCUGGGGCUCAAGCACUGUGGAAGGGCUGGAGGGACUGGGUUGGGAGCAAGGGGUCCAUGCUGAGGAAAACAUUGGGAAGUAUUGACCUAAGAUAUAAAGUAAAGCAGUAAAAGCAUCCAAAGCUUGACAGCGUGCGGAGGAUGAGGUUACUAGGAGUGUUUCAGUUGCUGGUUUAAAAUAGCACCCCCAGCUUGCUAGUGACUUUUGUCCCUGAUAAUUGAUUUCGCUGCCUGUGUGGUAAGUUUGUUGCUACAACCUGCUUCUAAGUGGGUAAGUGUCUGAAAACAACCAAUUACCCCCAGAAAUGAUGUUUAUUGACCCUUAAUUGUAGCAUCUGCAUGGUAGCUUAUUUGUUUUAAAUGUAUUUUGAAUUGCUCAGAAUAUGUAAGAUAUAAAAUUUAUAUUUCUCAUCACUUUUUCUGGUGUGGUUACUGGCUUCUUAAGCAUCUGAUCAAAUGAUCUGUGUUUCAUAGAUAUGCUUUGACACAUUUUUAUAUAUAAAAGUAUCCAGAAGCAUCUUCUUGAUGAAAAGACUCUCAUAAUCUCUGUCCAUUGGCUGUGAAAGUACCAGACAGAAAAAUAGAUGAAGGGAUCAGCGUAUUAGAAACUGUCUAACUACAGAAUCUCUAAAACACUUACCAUUUUCCCGUUCUUACAUUACUGUAAGACUCACUUCACACCCUAUUGCUAUCCCCUCUUAAAGAUUGCAGUCUUUCAAUGUUAAAAGAUUAGAAACAUUG